ACUACUUUGGUAACUUACUCAGAACAAGAAAAAACAGACACACAUAAACACACUUGUUUUUUUACUAAAGUUAUUUUUUCUUCCAAUGGCAACUGAAAACAAAAUCCUGAUCCUAGGACCAACAGGAGCUAUUGGAAGACACAUAGUUUGGGCAAGUAUUAAAGCAGGAAAUCCAACAUAUGCUUUGGUUAGAAAAACACCUGGCAAUGUUAACAAGCCAAAGCUUAUUACAGCUGCUAAUCCUGAAACCAAGGAAGAGCUUAUUGAUAAUUACCAAUCUUUAGGAGUUAUUCUACUUGAAGUAAGUGAUUUCAAUUUCUGAAAUAAUUUUAUAUUUUAUACUAAUUAAAUUUUUCUAAUCAAUAUGUCUUUGACUCUGCAGGGUGAUAUAAAUGAUCAUGAAACUCUUGUUAAGGCAAUCAAGCAAGUUGAUAUUGUGAUUUGUGCUGCUGGUAGACUACUAAUUGAGGAUCAGGUCAAGAUUAUUAAAGCAAUUAAAGAAGCUGGAAACGUUAAGGUGAGCAAAUUUGUCACUACACCACACUAAAUAAGUUCAAAUAAGUCAAUCUAAAUAAACUAUUAAGUAAUAGCUCCUUUGCUGGUUAGAUUUCGGCUUGUUAUAUUGAAUGUUGGUACUAAAUUUCUUGUGUCUACAGAAAUUUUUCCCAUCCGAAUUUGGGCUAGACGUGGACCGUCACGAGGCAGUUGAGCCAGUUAGACAAGUUUUUGAAGAAAAAGCGAGUAUCCGAAGAGUAAUUGAAGCUGAAGGAGUUCCUUACACUUACCUUUGUUGCCACGCCUUUACCGGUUACUUCUUACGUAACUUGGCUCAACUCGACGUCACUGAUCCUCCUCGGGAUAAAGUUGUCAUUCUUGGAGAUGGAAAUGUGAAAGGUAGCAAACUUAUUCACAAAACAGUUUUAGUACUAGUAUUCUACUAAACAUACAUCAUUCAAUUGUUUCAACAUUUGCCUUAAUUUUUUUUUUUUUCAGGAGCUUAUGUCACUGAGGCUGAUGUUGGGACUUUUACCAUUAAAGCAGCAAAUGAUCCCAACACAUUGAACAAAGCUGUCCAUAUAAGACUCCCCAAAAAUUAUUUGACCCAAAAUGAGGUUAUUUCUCUUUGGGAGAAAAAGAUUGGGAAGACUCUUGAGAAAACUUAUGUUUCAGAGGAACAAGUUCUCAAGGAUAUUCAAGGUCAGUAAAAUAAACGCUUUAUAAAUAUUGUUAAGAAUUUUUACAAUGUUAAUCAAUCAAUAAAUCGUUAAAAUUAUUUGAUUUUAAUUAUAUCUAUGCUUACUACGCAGAAUCUUCAUUCCCUCAUAACUACUUGUUGGCAUUGUAUCAUUCACAACAAAUAAAAGGAGAUGCAGUUUAUGAGAUUGAUCCAACCAAAGAUAUUGAAGCUUCUGAAGCCUAUCCUGAUGUCACAUACACCACUGCUGAUGAAUAUUUGAAUCAAUUUGUCUAAGUUUGUCAUCCCGGAAAUGUUAAAUAAGACAAAGAUUAUUUUUUCUUAAUAGUUUCACAUGUUGUACCACAUCAAUUAUAUUGUUAGUUGUCCUUGUUGUCUUGUUCUCAAUAAACCUUCCAAUUGAUGUAAUAUUUUACAAAAAUAAUAAUAUUGUAUUGUUCUAUUGUUUGCACAUUUGUGUCACUAGUAUCACUCUAUUAUUUUGUUGUUGCCCGUGAAUGGGUGACUCAAUAAAUUAUUUAAUACCCACGUCAGGAUGGACCGAUCUACCGUAUGAAGCAAUAUUUGUUUGGUCUCGGUUAUAAAUUUAAAUUAUUUACACACAUGCAAAAGAAAAAAAGUAGAAAGAAUGAACCAAUAUUUUUUUAUUUUAUUUUUAUGGGGGUGUUUGUUUGGGAGAUAAAAAAUAUAUUCCUGGGUAUAAGGGCAUUAAAUAUGAUAUUCCUAUGUUUGGUAGAAGGGAACAAAAAUAAUAUACCCAGGAAUAAAUGAUUCCCAGGAAUCUUAUUUACCCGUUGACUCUCUAUUUUUAUUCCCGGGGGUGGGGGGCUGGAAUCUUCAAUUCCUGAGAAUGAAAUCUCCACAUUCAUGACGAAAACCCACCCAUACCCCUAUUUUACCCACGCUUCUUCCCUCCUAAUUUUUCCCACGCGUUUUCUAAAUUAAUAGAAACCCACAUAUAUAUAAACCCCUCUUUGCUCUCUCUUUUCACUCAUCUGGAUCCAGAUCCAUCCAUAACAGGUUUGUGUCUUAUGUUUUGUUUUGUUUUUUGCGUUUUUUUAACUGCUGGACAGAUUCUCGGCCUGCCAGGCUGCUGUACCAGCGGAGCUGGGCCGCGCAAAUGCGAGUUUCGGUGACUGACAUUCGAGCGGGCAUCCACCAUUCUGUUGCUGUUGCAUGUCAAAGGUGUUGGGCAGUCUGCCAACCUUCAAUUAAAUGGCGUGUAACAACUUGAAACAGGGUACUCUUGUUAUGUAUUAAAAAACAAGUAUAUACCCUGACCAAUACCUUUGUUGACUCGCAUAAUUUACUUUGCUUGAUUAAAAAUAACAUGAAAAAUAUUAUUUUUCAUCAAUUUAAUGUAAAAGGGUAUUUUAAUAAUUUUGACAUUUAUUCCUGGGAUUAUACAUUUUAAACCAAACAUAUUUUUAGUAUUCCCAGGAAUUUAGAAAGAAAGUUCCAAGGAAUUCAAAUUGGUAACCAAACACUUUUUUAAAAUAUUCCUAGGAAUAUAAUUCCAAGGAAUAUAUUCCUGGGAAAAUUAUUCCAGGGAAUAAUUUUUGCAUCUGUGAAACAAACGGCCCCUAUAUUAUUGAAAUAAGUGCCCUAAAGGCAUUUGUUAGCAUUCUCCUUAAAAUAAUUAUAUGAUGUGUAUUUUGAUUGUGCACUUAAAUGAUUUGAAUUUGUGGUUGUGACUAUAUAAAAAUUAUUCGACGGCAUGAUCAACAGACCGUGUGAACAAUUGAAAUAUAUUAAAUAAUCAUGUUCAGACAUCCCUUACUUGUAGAGGUGUCAAAUGGACUGGACAACCCAGUUCGGCUUAAGAGUUUUGACUACAUAAAUGAACCAGUCUGACCAAGCCCAUUUGUAAUUGGGCCGCAUAAAAUAUAAUUGAAUGGAUAUAGAAGUAUAAAUAUUUUUUACAUUACCAUUAAAUACUAAUUAAACUCUAGAUUUAUUUCUUCAAUUGAAUCAAAUUAAUACUACAUCCGUCCAUAAUUAUAGGAUCCUUUUGAAAAAUAACAGGAAUUAAGAAAAUUAAAAGUGAUAAUAAAUUUGUUUUUAAUUACAAUUGUUUUUACAAAUUUGUCUUUUAAGAGUGGGUUAGUCCGUUAAUGUAUGUUUACAAUGUAGUAUUUAAUGAUGAUUGAAGAAAAAGAUAUACAAUAAAUAGGGGUAUGGUGGUAAAGAAUUAAUUAAUAUAUUUGGAAAUAGCAAAGAGAUUUUUAUAAAAAGAGACAAAAAAAUUCUCAAAAGGGUCCUAUAAUUAGGGACAGAGACAGUAGUUUAUAAACUUUAGAAUUUUAAAACUUUGAACUAAAUUUAUGCAUUUUUAUUAAGUUGACUUAUUUCAAUAUAUUUUAUUAAUAAAUUUUUAAAGUAGUUGAUAAUGUUUUUAAAAAAUAUAGCGUUUUUUAACAAAAAUAAAAUAAAAGUAUAGAUAGUAGGUCGGUCCGAAGUCCGAUAGGUUAGCCUGACUCGGCCCCAUUUUCAUAUGGAUCAAAUGAGCUAAGGUAAAAAAAAAUACGAGAGUAUUUUUAGUUAGGUUUGUGGUUCGGCCCAAAAUGUGUCAUUUUUUAUGUCUCUACUUACUAGCCAUCUCACCAUUAACAACGAUUUGUCAACUAAACAAUGUCAUCUUCUUUUCUAUUAAAGUUAACCCGGAAGCCCUAAUUUUAACCUAAACUAUAUUGCAUAAAUUUACUGUUUUAACCCUAAUGCUUAAUUCCUUUGUUUAAUCCUAUUAACCCUAUUUCUUGGUUGAAACAAAUUGAACCUAAUCUCCUAUUUUCUUGAAUAAAACAAAUUGGCCCUAUUUCUUCAACAAAACAAAUCGCUUUAUUUCUUGCUUUAAAAAAGAAACAACAACUCAAGUUGGGAUACUCUACUUGACCUAGAAGAGAAAUAACGGAAAGAAGAACUUGCCUUUUUGAGAACUUAUUGUCGGAACUCGGAAGCAAUGGUGAUCUGCUAAGUUUAUGGCGAGUUCGAUUGAUUAUGAGCUGCUAAGUUCGAUUGAGUAAGAGUUCGAUUGAUUAUGAGUUGCGAAGUUCCAUUGAGUAACAGGCAACAAAUCCUUCUUCUCAUGGCGGUAGGGAUGAGAGAUUUUGCUUACAACAAAUUAAUGGCAUGAUCAUAGGAAAGAGAUUUUAGUUUCUAGGUUUAGUAAGAACAAUGGGAUGAGAAAUGAUGAGGUAGAGUUGCAUGUGAAGAUAUGAUGAGGGAGAUAAAGAUGUUGAUAGGUUUUGGAAUAGGAAAGUAAUUUUUAUGAGAGAGGUUGACUACAGCUAUAAAAUAAAUGAUAAUUAUAUUUAUUUGAUACUUCCUAAAUGUUGUUACUUGAGAGUUAAAACGAUCUCUUUCCUGUG
rnacentral:lncRNA from 1 species